rnacentral:lncRNA from 1 species
AUUCCAGGUGCCUCUUUAAGCUAUCAUUCUGCAUUCUGUGGGAACAGAGAGAGCAUCACCAUAGUUCAAGCCAGGCUACUUUCAGGUUAGGUGGACUUGUGUUGGUAUUAUGUCUCCAUGACUGUGUGACCCUGGGGAUGCGGCUUGACCUUCCUGAGCACCAGUUUCUGCAUCUAUUAGGAGUGGACAGUGAAGACCGAACUCCUAAGGUUGUGAUGAGAAUUCAGUGAGAACAUGCAUGCCCAGCACAGCUUCAAGCACACAGAAACAGUAAAACCGAUUGCAGGCUCUGGAUAAAGUGGAUCUACAAGAAAUAACUUCCCAAGGAGGAGUCCUGUAAAUAGCAUGAGUGGACAAAUACGACUCAGGCUGCUUUUUGCCAUGAAAUUGCCAGACAAGGAGGGAUGUCUGUUUCAGAGUCCUGGGCCAGGGGAGUGAAGUCACACAGUUACCUGCAUGCAGAGCCCAGAGUGGAAGACCUAGCUCCCUUUACCCUGCAACAUGCAAUCUUCUUAAACCAGUCUUCUUAUCCUUGGGUGGGCAGUCAGGGAGCUGUGCACGCCCACACCUCCAACACCCUUUAUUUUGCAAACAUGGGCAUAGAAACAACUGCAAGGGAAAAUGUGUCCCACCCCUUCCCCACUCCCUUCUGGCUUUCUCUCUGUUGCCUGGCAACAGUUUUAUCCAGAAACCUGGGUGUCAUCCUAGAUAACUCCCUCACCCUUAUCCUUCCCACAAAACCCAUGGCCCAAUCAUGUCCAUUUUAUCUCCUAAAUGGCCCUCAAGUCCAUCCACUCCUCCCCUCCCCCCAUCACCUCCCCAGUCCAAGGUUCCAUCAUGAAUUUCCUGGACAUCUACAUUGGCUUCCCACAGGCCUCCGGCUUUCACACUUGCUCAUCC